rnacentral:rRNA from 1 species
UGGGGAAUAUUGGACAAUGGGCGAAAGCCUGAUCCAGCCAUGCCGCGUGUGUGAAGAAGGCCUUAUGGUUGUAAAGCACUUUAAGUGGGGAGGAAAAGCUUAUGGAUAAUACCCAUAGGUUCUGACGUUACCCACAGAAUAAGCACCGGCUAACUCUGUGCCAGCAGCCGCGGUAAUACAGAGGGUGCGAGCGUUAAUCGGAAUUACUGGGCGUAAAGCGGGCGUAGGUGGUUUAUUAAGUCAGAUGUGAAAUCCCUGGGCUUAACCUAGGAACUGCAUCUGAUACUGAUAAACUAGAGUAGGUGAGAGGAAAGUAGAAUUCCAGGUGUAGCGGUGAAAUGCGUAGAUAUCUGGAGGAAUACCGAUGGCGAAGGCAGCUUUCUGGCAUCAUACUGACACUGAGGUUCGAAAGCGUGGGUAGCAAACAGGAUUAGAUACCCUGGUAGUCCACGCCGUAAACGAUGUCUACCAGUCGUUGGGUCUUUUAAAGACUUAGUGACGCAGUUAACGCAAUAAGUAGACCGCCUGGGGAGUACGGCCGCAAGGUUA